AAGUUACUCCCUCCGUUCGGAAUUACUUGUCGCAGAAAUGGAUGUAUCUAGAUGUAUUUUAGUUCUAGAUACAUCCAUUUCCGAGACAAGUAAUUCCGAACGGAGGGAGUAUUUG
rnacentral:pre_miRNA from 1 species